rnacentral:rRNA from 1 species
UUCCGUAGGGUGAACCUGCGGAGGGAUCAUUACUGAGUUUACGCUCUAUAACCCUUUGUGAACAUACCUAUAACUGUUGCUUCGGCGGGUAGGGUCUCCGCGACCCUCCCGGCCUCCCGCCUCCGGGCGGGUCGGCGCCCGCCGGAGGAUAACCAAACUCUGAUUUAACGACGUUUCUUCUGAGUGGUACAAGCAAAUAAUCAAAACUUUUAACAACGGAUCUCUUGGUUCUGGCAUCGAUGAAGAACGCAGCGAAAUGCGAUAAGUAAUGUGAAUUGCAGAAUUCAGUGAAUCAUCGAAUCUUUGAACGCACAUUGCGCCCGCCAGCAUUCUGGCGGGCAUGCCUGUUCGAGCGUCAUUUCAACCCUCAAGCUCUGCUUGGUGUUGGGGCCCUACAGCUGAUGUAGGCCCUCAAAGGUAGUGGCGGACCCUCCCGGAGCCUCCUUUGCGUAGUAACUUUACGUCUCGCACUGGGAUCCGGAGGGACUCUUGCCGUAAAACCCCCCAAUUUUCCAAAGGUUGACCUCGGAUCAGGUAGAUACCCCGA